rnacentral:rRNA from 1 species
AUACGUAGGGGGCGAGCGUUGUCCGGAAUGACUGGGCGUAAAGGGUACGUAGGCGGCCAGAUAAGUCAGAUGUGAAAGGCAUGGGCUCAACCCAUGUAAGCAUUUGAAACUGUUUGGCUUGAGUUAAGGAGAGGAAAGUGGAAUUCCUGGUGUAGCGGUGAAAUGCGUAGAUAUCAGGAGGAAUAUCAGUGGCGAAGGCGACUUUCUGGACUUAUACUGACGCUGAGGUACGAAAGCGUGGGGAGCAAACAGGAUUAGAUACCCUGGUAGUCCACGCCGUAAACGAUGAGUGCUAGGUGUCGGGGGUCAAACCUCGGUGCCGGAGUUAACACAUUAAGCACUCCGCCUGGGGAGUACGUUCGCAAGAAUGAA